rnacentral:lncRNA from 1 species
GGAAAACACAUAUUUCAUAAUCAAAAAUAAGUUUAGAUGUCUAAAACAUUCAUUUAAAGUGAAACUAUAACUAUUUGAAUAUAAUAAAAAUAUUCAAUAAAAUGUUCUAUUUUCUUAUAAAACAAUAUUUAUAGAGUUCCCGGUAAAUAAUUUUUGUAGCGUAAAAGCUAAAUAAAUUCAUACAUACUGUAAUACAGAUAACCAAAGCAUAAGAUUUAAUUUAUAGUGACAUGUGGGCCCAUGAACGACCAAAAGUAUCAAAAGC